rnacentral:lncRNA from 1 species
AAGGAAAGGGACACGCUUUGGCGGGAGCAGAAUAAGAAAAGUGAUGCAGCUGCUCUUCUGAAGGAAAAGGAUGAAAUAAUUAAUCAAGUUAUGGCUGAAGGUCUCUUUCUGUCCCUGUCUGUCUCUGUUUCUCUUGAGAAGCUCAAUAUGUUCUACAUAUUUUGUGCCUCAUAGUGAAUUUCAACGUAGCCAAUGUUCUAUUGUGGAUGCAAGGAGGGUUUCUUUAUGCAAUCAUAUCAAUAAUUAUGGAAAUCCCUUCAUUUUUGCAUUUUUAUGUACCAGGUGAAGAGCUUUCAAAAAAGCAGGCUGCUCAAGAAGGACAGAUUAGGAAAUUAAGGGCUCAGGUAUGCUAGCGGUUUAUUCAUUGUCUGAUUUUGUCAUUCUUUAAUCCUUUCACUGCUAGGUAUUCUUAUAUUUUUUUUCUCUGAAUACUAGAUCAGAGAGUUUGAAGAAGAGAAGAAAGGGUUGAUUACUAAACUUCAGGUA